rnacentral:rRNA from 1 species
GACGUAGGGGGCAAGCGUUGUUCGGAAUUAUUGGGCGUAAAGCGCUCGUAGGCGGGACUGUAAGUCCGUGUUGAAAGACCUCGGCUCAACUGAGGGACCGGCGCGGAUACUAUAGUUCUUGAGGCAAUCAGAGGGUGAUGGAAUUCCGCGUGUAGCAGUGAAAUGCGUAGAUAUGCGGAGGAACACCGAUGGCGAAGGCAAUCCCCUGGACCUGUACUGACGCUCAUGCACGAAAGCGUGGGGAGCAAACAGG